AGUGAACGCUGGCGGUAGGCCUAACACAUGCAAGUCGAACGGCAGCACAGUAAGAGCUUGCUCUUACGGGUGGCGAGUGGCGGACGGGUGAGGAAUACAUCGGAAUCUACUUUUUCGUGGGGGAUAACGUAGGGAAACUUACGCUAAUACCGCAUACGACCUACGGGUGAAAGCUGGGGAUCUUCGGACCUUGCGCGAUCGAAUGAGCCGAUGUCGGAUUAGCUAGUUGGCGGGGUAAAGGCCCACCAAGGCGACGAUCCGUAGCUGGUCUGAGAGGAUGAUCAGCCACACUGGAACUGAGACACGGUCCAGACUCCUACGGGAGGCAGCAGUGGGGAAUAUUGGACAAUGGGCGCAAGCCUGAUCCAGCCAUACCGCGUGGGUGAAGAAGGCCUUCGGGUUGUAAAGCCCUUUUGUUGGGAAAGAAAAGCAGCAGGUUAAUACCCCGCUGUUCUGACGGUACCCAAAGGAUAAGCACCGGCUAACUUCGUG
rnacentral:rRNA from 1 species